rnacentral:rRNA from 1 species
UCGGGAAUUUUGGGCAAUGGGCGCAAGCCUGAUCCAGCCAUGCCGCGUGAGUGAAGAAGGCCUUCGGGUUGUAAAGCUCUUUUACCAGGGACGAUAAUGACGGUACCUGGAGAAUAAGCCCCGGCAAACUUCGUGCCAGCAGCCGCGGUAAUACGAAGGGGGCUAGCGUUGUUCGGAAUUACUGGGCGUAAAGCGCACGUAGGCGGAUUGUUAAGUCAGAGGUGAAAUCCCGGAGCUCAACUUCGGAACUGCCUUUGAUACUGGCAAUCUAGAGUCCGGAAGAGGUUAGUGGAAUUCCCAGUGUAGAGGUGAAAUUCGUAGAUAUUGGGAAGAACACCAGUGGCGAAGGCGGCUAACUGGUCCGGUACUGACGCUGAGGUGCGAAAGCGUGGGGAGCAAACAGGAUUAGAUACCCACGUAGUCCCUGAGCGGGCUGGCAAGGCGCAU